AUUGAACGCUGGCGGCAGGCCUAACACAUGCAAGUCGAGCGGCAGCGACUUAACUGAACCUUCGGGGAACGUUAAGGGCGGCGAGCGGCGGACGGGUGAGUAAUGCCUGGGAAUAUGCCCUGAUGUGGGGGAUAACUAUUGGAAACGAUAGCUAAUACCGCAUAAUCUCUUCGGAGCAAAGAGGGGGACCUUCGGGCCUCUCGCGUCAGGAUUAGCCCAGGUGGGAUUAGCUUGUUGGUGAGGUAAUGGCUCACCAAGGCAACGAUCCCUAGCUGGUCUGAGAGGAUGAUCAGCCACACUGGAACUGAGGCACGGUCCAGACUCCUACGGGAGGCAGCAGUGGGGAAUAUUGCACAAUGGGGGAAACCCUGAUGCAGCCAUGCCGCGUGUGUGAAGAAGGCCUUCGGGUUGUAAAGCACUUUCAGUAGGGAGGAAGGUAGUGUAGUUAACACCUGCAUUAUUUGACGUUACCUACAGAAGAAGCACCGGCUAACUCCGUGCCAGCAGCCGCGGUAAUACGGAGGGUGCGAGCGUUAAUCGGAAUUACUGGGCGUAAAGCGCAUGCAGGCGGCCUGUUAAGUCAGAUGUGAAAGCCCGGGGCUUAACCUCGGAAUUGCAUUUGAAACUGGCAGGCUAGAGUCUUGUAGAGGGGGGUAGAAUUUCAGGUGUAGCGGUGAAAUGCGUAGAGAUCUGAAGGAAUACCAGUGGCGAAGGCGGCCCCCUGGACAAAGACUGACGCUCAGAUGCGAAAGCGUGGGGAGCAAACAGG
rnacentral:rRNA from 1 species